GAUGAACGCUAGCGGCAGGCCUAACACAUGCAAGCCGAACGGUAUUUGUUUUCCGGAGCAGGGUGAUCGGCUCACGGACGCGUAACUCGUAUGCAAGCUACCUUUCUCUGGGUGUUAGACUUUCUCAAGGAAGUUUGAUACCCACUAAUUUAUUGAUUGUCAUCCUUUGUUAUUGAUAGCUCCGUUCGAUAGAGAUGGGUACGCGCAAGAUUAGAUAGUUGGUGAGGUAACGGCUCACCAAGUCAAUGAUCUUUAGGGGGCCUGAGAGGGUGAUCCCCCACACUGGUACUGAGACAAGGACCAGACUCAUACGGGAGGCAGCAGUGAGGAAGACUGGACAAUGGGUUAGCGCCUGAUCCAGCCAUCCCGCGUGAAGGACGACGGCGCUAUGGGUGGUAAACUUCUGUUGGAUAGGGAUAAACCUACUCUCGUGAGAGUAGCUGAAGGUACUAGACGAAUAAGCACCGGCUAACUCCGUG
rnacentral:rRNA from 1 species